AACAUAUACAUUAAGAACAUAAACAGUAUAUACAGUAUAAGAUAUAUUUUUGUGUGAGAAGGUGUCUUAUGAAUUAUCUAUUUAAAAGUCUGAUGGCCUGGGGGAAAAAAACAGUUUUAUCAAAUCAGUCAAUGGUGCAACCUGUUAAUCUGUGGUCCUGUGGGGCGUUUGCUGUUUUCAGUGUGGGUAAAUACGCUUAAAAUGUAAUUUCUGUACAAAACGAUCGAAAGAUGUACAAUAGUGCACACAGUGCAGAUAAUAAUGCACACAGUGCACUUUCAUAGACUAAGCUACUGGAGUUACCCUGCACUAUACUAAUUUUUAACAGUCUCUUCUGCACUUUAUUCACUUUUUUAAUAGUCGUGUAUCACAGCUGUUACCCUACACUAUAUUCAGUUUUAACAGUUUUCUUCAUCUCCUUUGCACUACUAACUUUUUUACUGACUUUUUACUAACAAGUUUUUCACUAUGGAACUGUGAUGCUUGAAACUUGAAUUUCCCUCGGGAUCAAUAAAGUUGCCAUCUAUCUAUCUAUCUAUCUAUCUAUCUAUCUAUCUAUCUAUCUAUCUAAUAAUAUAAUUGUAUAUAAUUCAGGUAAAUUGUUGUUUACAUAUUUUAUCCACAUGUGCUGAGUAUUCAUGAGAUCACUGCAAGGUUAAUCUUUUCUGAAAGCUGCUGUAUGGGGUUGAUGGUCGCCACCUUAGCGCAAAGAUAGAAUGCAAUCUGCAUAACGGAACGGAUACCUGCUGCCGUCAGAUGGCUGUAAAGAGAGACAGUGUAAAGUCAGUAGUACUAACCGUCAUGACAGACAGAGCUUUAUUCUAUAGUUGUCAAUAAUGCCAUGACUGCUGGUUGAAAAACCAUGUUGUAGAAUAGAGUUAGUGUUGCUAUCCCUGUUGGGUUUCCUGGUAAAAAAUAUGUUGUGGAUAUCUGAAAUGACAAUUAUGGAUAGGAAGUGGAUAUCUGAAAUGUUCUUUUGACUAGUAAAUUACACCUUUGGGAUCAAGUGUCAAAUAGUGAAUUCAGUGCAACAGCACCAGCAGAGGGCUCACUGUGAUACACACCAACCAGAAGUGUGUGACUGUGUUUUAGACCGGAGGAAGUGGACUCUAUUAGUGACUUGACCUGAAGAGAACUACAGCUCAGGUUAUCAGUCAG